AGAGUUUGAUCCUGGCUCAGAACGAACGCUGGCGGCGUGCUUAACACAUGCAAGUCGAGUGCGCGGUUGUAGCAAUACAACUGGCGCACGGCGCACGGGUGCGUAACACGUGGGCAAUCUGCCCUCCGAUGGGGAAUAACCCCGCGAAAGCGGGGCUAAUACCGCAUAACAUUCCGGGGACUUCGGUUCCUGGACUCAAAGGCGUAAGUCGUCGGAGGUGGAGCCCGCGCCCGAUUAGCUAGUUGGUGAGGUAAUGGCUCACCAAGGCAAUGAUCGGUAGCUGGUCUGAGAGGAUGGCCAGCCACACUGGAACUGAGACACGGUCCAGACUCCUACGGGAGGCAGCAGUGGGGAAUCUUGCGCAAUGGGCGAAAGCCUGACGCAGCGACGCCGCGUGGGGGAUGAAGCAUCUCGGUGUGUAAACCCCUUUCGACUGGGACGAAUGCCUCGCAAGAGGAGUGACGGUACCAGUAGAAGAAGCCCCGGCUAACUACGUGCCAGCAGCCGCGGUAAGACGUAGGGGGCCAGCGUUGUUCGGAAUUACUGGGUGUAAAGGGUUCGUAGGCGGUGUAGCAAGUCGGGAGUGAAAUCUCUGGGCUUAACCCAGAGGCUGCUUCCGAAACUGCUGUGCUGGAGUGUGGGAGAGGCGCGUGGAAUUGCAGGUGUAGCGGUGAAGUGCGUAGAUAUCUGCAGGAACACCCGUGGCGAAGGCGGCGCGCUGGACCACUACUGACGCUGAGGAACGAAAGCUAGGGGAGCAAACAGGAUUAGAUACCCUGGUAGUCCUAGCCCUAAACGAUCAGGACUUGGGGUGCCACCCGUUCGGGUGUCGUCCCGGAGCUACGCGUUAAGUCCUGCACCUGGGGAGUACGGUCGCAGACUGAAACUCAAAGGAAUUGACGGGGCCCGCACAAGCGGUGGAACAUGUGGUUCAAUUCGACGCUACGCGAGGAACCUUACCUGGGCUCGAAAUG
rnacentral:rRNA from 1 species